rnacentral:rRNA from 1 species
UGCUCUAUGAUAUUUAAAUGGCCGCAGUAUUUUAACUGUGCAAAGGUAGCAUGAUAAUUUGCUUCUUAAUUAGGAGCUUGUAUGAAUGGCUGAAUGAGAGAUUAACUUUCUUUAUUUUAUUUUACAUAAUUUUAUUUUUUAGUUAAAAAGCUAUGAUAUUUUUAUAAGACGAGAAGACCCUAUAGAGUCUUUUUGUUUUUAUAUAAAGUCUAGUCACUUUAUAUUUAAUUUUAUUAUUAAUUUUUAGGAAAUUAUUUUAUUAUAUUAUUAUUUAUUUUGUUGGGGUGACAGGUAAAUUUAUUUAACUUUACUUAUUUAUAUUUCAUAAAUUUAUGAUUUAUUGAUCCUAAUAUUAUGAUUAAAAGUUUAAGUUACCUUAGGGAUAACAGCGUUAUUUUAUUGGAGAGUUCUUAUUUAUAAUAAAGUUUGCGACCUCGAUGUUGGAUUAAAAUUAGUUUUAUGGUGUAGAAGCUUUUAUUCUAGGUCUGUUCGACCUUUAAAUUUUUACA